GAUGAACGCUGGCGGCGUGCUUAACACAUGCAAGUCGAACGGUGAACACGGAGCUUGCUCUGUGGGAUCAGUGGCGAACGGGUGAGUAACACGUGAGCAACCUGCCCCUGACUCUGGGAUAAGCGCUGGAAACGGCGUCUAAUACUGGAUAUGUGACGUGACCGCAUGGUCUGCGUUUGGAAAGAUUUUUCGGUUGGGGAUGGGCUCGCGGCCUAUCAGCUUGUUGGUGAGGUAAUGGCUCACCAAGGCGUCGACGGGUAGCCGGCCUGAGAGGGUGACCGGCCACACUGGGACUGAGACACGGCCCAGACUCCUACGGGAGGCAGCAGUGGGGAAUAUUGCACAAUGGGCGGAAGCCUGAUGCAGCAACGCCGCGUGAGGGAUGACGGCCUUCGGGUUGUAAACCGCUUUUAGCAGGGAAGAAGCGAAAGUGACGGUACCUGCAGAAAAAGCGCCGGCUAACUACGUG
rnacentral:rRNA from 1 species